rnacentral:rRNA from 1 species
GUGAGGAAUAUUGGUCAAUGGGCGGAAGCCUGAACCAGCCAAGUCGCGUGAGGGAAGACGGUCCUAUGGAUUGUAAACCUCUUUUGCAGGGGAGCAAGGCACGGUACGUGUGCCGUGAAGGAGAGUACCCUGAGAAAAAGCAUCGGCUAACUCCGUGCCAGCAGCCGCGGUAAUACGGAGGAUGCGAGCGUUAUCCGGAUUUAUUGGGUUUAAAGGGUGCGCAGGCGGACUGUUAAGUCAGCGGUAAAAUGUCGGUGCUCAACACCGGCCGGCCGUUGAAACUGGCAGCCUUGAGUGAGCGAGAAGUAUGCGGAAUGCGUGGUGUAGCGGUGAAAUGCAUAGAUAUCACGCAGAACUCCGAUUGCGAAGGCAGCAUACCGGCGCUCAACUGACGCUCAGGCACGAAAGCGUGGGUAUCGAACAGG